CGAGAAAGCGUCCUGUGUUUAUUUCCUUUAAACUCAAAUGCCUUUGCUUAUUUUCAUAGCUUUCUGGAUUUCAGGAGUUUAUCGGAAAGACAGGCAAGGGACAUAAAAACCCCACAACCAAUAACAGGCGGGGCAAAAGUUCAAUGUCUCUCACAGUUGUGGGAACAGCCUCCUCUAAUUGGCCGAGUAUUUCAUUGAGGACUGCUGAAGAUGCUCUUUCUGAAGGAGAUGGAGACUGAGGAGAUUGGGAGACCCCAAAAGAUCCGACACUGUUAUUGAUGAUGGAGCGAGCUGCCUGCAGGUGUCUUCUCUGGCUCUGGCGCACUGUGAGACAAUGAGCAGUAUGUUUUUAAAGAGCAUAUGUAACUGGUUAAAUAAUCUGAAGAAGAAAAAUGUAUGCUAUGUUGUUACGCAAUUACCUGUACAAGAACAUUAUGUUCAGAAUACAAAAAUAGAAAAGUAACUGAGGCACUAAAGUACGUGAUGGGACACAGUUUGCAUGUAAAGUCAAUGUCUAUGGUACUGACUCAUGCUUUUUAAUGCCAAGAUCAAAGUGGGUGUAUUUAAUAACUGCCAACUAUUGAGUAAAGCACUACUCUUCAAUUCUAUCAACAAAUGCUUGCACUGUAAAUAUAUUUUUUCAUAAACAUGAUUUAUACCAAAAAUAAAUAUAAGAAGUUGGAA